rnacentral:rRNA from 1 species
GACGAACGCUGGCGGCGUGCUUAACACAUGCAAGUCGAACGGAAAGGCCCUGCUUUUGUGGGGUGCUCGAGUGGCGAACGGGUGAGUAACACGUGAGUAACCUGCCCUUGACUUUGGGAUAACUUCAGGAAACUGGGGCUAAUACCGGAUAGGAGUUCCUGCUGCAUGGUGGGGGUUGGAAAGUUUCGGCGGUUGGGGAUGGACUCGCGGCUUAUCAGCUUGUUGGUGGGGUAGUGGCUUACCAAGGCUUUGACGGGUAGCCGGCCUGAGAGGGUGAGCGGCCACAUUGGGACUGAGAUGCGGCACAGACUCCUACGGGAGGCAGCAGUGGGGAAUAUUGUACUAUGGGCGGAAGCCUGAUGCAGCAACGCCGCGUGCGGGAUGACGGCCUUCGGUUUGUAAACCGCUUUCGCCUGUGACGAAGCGUGAGUGACGGUAAUGGGUAAAGAAGCACCGGCUAACUACGUG